rnacentral:siRNA from 1 species
UAUCACAGGCAGGGUCUGGGUA